AUAGACAAACCUAACCCUUAAUUCACUCUAAGAGGUUGGCCCUUCCUGAGCUACCUUAAAUCGAGAGAAAGGCUAAGUCAAAAGUUUAAUCACAAGGACCAGGGCAGACAACGUUCGCAAUACAGACUCAAUGAAUGCAGAGCAGACUCGACGAUUGUAAAGCAGACUCAACAAUCGCAGUGCAUACUCGACGAUUAUAAGAACUACCUCAACGAUCGCAGUCCUCCCAAAGGAC
rnacentral:lncRNA from 1 species